rnacentral:rRNA from 1 species
GGGUUGUGAGGUUAAGCGACUAAGCGUACACGGUGGAUGCCCUGGCAGUCAGAGGCGAUGAAGGGCGUACUAAUCUGCGAUAAGCGCCGGUAAGGUGAUAUGAACCGUUAUAACCGGCGAUACCCGAAUGGGGAAACCCAGUGUGAUUCGUCACACUAUCAUUAACUGAAUCCAUAGGUUAAUGAGGCGAACCGGGGGAACUGAAACAUCUAAGUACCCCGAGGAAAAGAAAUCAACCGAGAUUCCCCCAGUAGCGGCGAGCGAACGGGGAGGAGCCCAGAGCCUGAAUCAGCAUGUGUGUUAGUGGAAGCGUCUGGAAAGGCGCGCGAUACAGGGUGACAGCCCCGUACACAAAAGCGCAUGUGCUGUGAGCUCGAUGAGUAGGGCGGGACACGUGGUAUCCUGUCUGAAUAUGGGGGGACCAUCCUCCAAGGCUAAAUACUCCUGACUGACCGAUAGUGAACCAGUACCGUGAGGGAAAGGCGAAAAGAACCCCGGCGAGGGGAGUGAAAAAGAACCUGAAACCGUGUACGUACAAGCAGUGGGAGCA